CGUUGAGGUUUGCACAUGUUUGCACCCCACUCUUUCUGGCAGCCCAGGCGUCCCCUCUUUCUGAGCUGUAUUCUGUGGAGGUUGCUCUGCUGAGGAGCUGGGUGGUGGCGCAGUCAUUUUGCUGAUCUGAUGCUUCUCCCACACCCGUAAGUGGGAGUGGAGCAGGGCGUGUGGGUCCGGCUGCUGCCUCUGCCUCGGCACUUCAGAGACGGUCAUCUGCUCCUGUUCUUGCCAUUCGCGGGGUCUGCCUCCAGCAAGUUCUCCUUCAGCAUUCUGAGUGUACCACGGGACAGCUAGAAUACAGAGACGUGUAACAGCCUGGUCCUCAUUCCGCCGACGAGGAAGCAGAGUCAUCUAGCCUCCCUCACUGAAGAUGAAGUCGCUCUGGUUUGAACGCCUCUGACAAUCCUACGGGCGAGCACAUCAUUUUCCAGCCCUCACUCAAGACGGAGUCGCUCUGCUUCCAACACCACUGACAAUCCUACGAGUGAGCACAACAUUUCUGGAUUAGAGGGAGACCCACUUUUUAUUUACAGAAUAUAUUGGCAUUGGUUCCUUGUGACUGCUGCCCACCUGGGACAAUGUGGUGAUAGUGAGAGGAGCCUGCCUGUGCAAAAGGGGGUUUUGCUCUACAGGAGGGAAACCUGAAGAUUAUGAGUCUUAGAGCUGAUGUAGGAACUGUUACACCCAUGGGAGAGUGUAAGAUAAACCUUAUUUUCUAAUGUCAACAGAUCCUCUCUGAGAAGAGAAGGGAAAGGUCCCAGAUUUACUAUUCUUUGGGAUGUAAAGUAACGGUCCUGAGUUUCAUCUGGCUUGGAAAUCUAAACACAUACCAAAAGGGAGAUAAACCUGUCAACCUUUUCCCUGGGCUCUUUCUUUCUUUCUUUCUCCCCCCGUCCCUCCCUCUCU